UACGAAGGGGGGCUAGCGUUGCUCGGAAUCACUGGGCGUAAAGGGUGCGUAGGCGGGUUUUUAAGUCAGGGGUGAAAUCCUGGAGCUCAACUCCAGAACUGCCUUCGAUACUGGAGAGCUCGAGUCCGGGAGAGGUGAGUGGAACUGCGAGUGUAGAGGUGAAAUUCGUAGAUAUUCGCAAGAACACCAGUGGCGAAAGGCGGCCUCCAGCUGGCC
rnacentral:rRNA from 1 species